rnacentral:rRNA from 1 species
UACGAAGGGUGCAAGCGUUACUCGGAAUUACUGGGCGUAAAGGGUGCGUAGGUGGUUGUUUAAGUCUGCUGUGAAAGCCCCGGGCUUAACCCUGGAACUGCCUUUGAUACUGACGAUCUGGAGAUCGGGAGAGGUGAGUGGAAUUCCGAGUGUAGAGGUGAAAUUCGUAGAUAUUCGCAAGAACACCAGUGGCGAAGGCGGCUCACUGGCCCGGUACUGACGCUGAGGCACGAAAGCUAGGGGAGCAAACAGG